GAUGAACGCUAGCGGGAGGCUUAACACAUGCAAGUCGAGGGGCAGCACGAUGUAGCAAUACGUUGGUGGCGACCGGCGCACGGGUUAGUAACGCGUAUGCAACCUACCCUGUACAGGGGGAUAACCCGGAGAAAUUCGGAUUAAUACCCCAUAAAGAUAUUAGAAGGCAUCUUUUAAUAUUUAAAGUUUCGGCGGUACGGGAUGGGCAUGCGUAAGAUUAGCUAGUUGGCAGGGUAACGGCCUACCAAGGCAACGAUCUUUAGGGGUCCUGAGAGGGUGAUCCCCCCACACUGGUACUGAGACACGGACCAGACUCCUACGGGUGGCUG
rnacentral:rRNA from 1 species